rnacentral:rRNA from 1 species
UACGUAGGGAGCGAGCGUUAUCCGGAUUUACUGGGUGUAAAGGGUGCGUAGGCGGCUAUGCAAGUCAGUAGUGAAAUCCAUGGGCUUAACCCAUGAACUGCUAUUGAAACUGCACAGCUUGAGUGAAGUAGAGGUAGGCGGAAUUCCCGGUGUAGCGGUGAAAUGCGUAGAGAUCAGGAGGAACACCAGUGGCGAAGGCGGCCUACUGGGCUUUAACUGACGCUGAGGCACGAAAGCGUGGGUAGCAAACAGG